rnacentral:rRNA from 1 species
CAGUAGCCGCGGGAAUACGUAGGGUGCAAGCGUUAAUCGGAAUUACUGGGCGUAAAGCGUGCGCAGGCGGUCCGCUAAGACAGAUGUGAAAUCCCCGGGCUUAACCUGGGAACUGCAUUUGUGACUGGCGGGCUAGAGUAUGGCAGAGGGGGGUAGAAUUCCACGUGUAGCAGUGAAAUGCGUAGAGAUGUGGAGGAAUACCGAUGGCGAAGGCAGCCCCCUGGGCCAAUACUGACGCUCAUGCACGAAAGCGUGGGGAGCAAACAGGAUUAGAUACCCGCGUAGUCCCUGUCUCUUAUAC